rnacentral:rRNA from 1 species
AUGAACGCUAGCGGCAGGCUUAACACAUGCAAGUCGAGGGGCAGCGGGAUGUAGCAAUACAUUGCCGGCGACCGGCGGAUGGGUGCGUAACGCGUAUGCAACCUACCUUAUACAGGGGAAUAACCUUUCGAAAGGGAGACUAACACCCCAUAGUAUUGAUUUAAGGCAUCUUAGAUUAAUUAAAUAUUUAUAGGUAUAAGAUGGGCAUGCGUAUGAUUAGCUAGUUGGUAAGGUAACGGCUUACCAAGGCGACGAUCAUUAGGGGUUCUGAGAGGAAGGUCCCCCACACUGGUACUGAGACACGGACCAGACUCCUACGGGAGGCAGCAGUGAGGAAUAUUGCGCAAUGGGGGAAACCCUGACGCAGCGACGCCGCGUGAAGUGAGGAAGGCCUUCGGGUCGUAAAGCUCUGUCAAGAGGAAAGAAGUGUACAAUGGCUAAUACCUGUUGUAUUUGACGGUACCUCUAAAGGAAGCACCGGCUAACUCCGUGCCAGCAGCCGC